UCCUUUCUUAUUUCAUUUUUAUUUCUGAGAUUUACUUCUUCUCUUAGUCGUUUUUUCUUAUCAGUGGGUUUGCCUCCUUUCUCUCCAUGGCAGUUUAACAGAGAUUCUAAUGUAAGGUAUACACAUCUGCUCCUCUCCUUCAAUUCUCCAGCAUUCCCUCUUCCUACCAGUUUUUGAGAUUAAGUACUUUAGAAAUAUUAGGUAUUCUUUCAAUUAUCCCUCAUGUAUUUAUAAUCUUCCUACCUUCUCCUAAGUUUCAUGCCUAAAUAAUAUCAUUGUUUUCCUCUUUACUUAUUGUCGCUUAUAUCGUGUUCGAUGAAAUGUCAAAGUGAAUUACAUUGUUAUGUGCAUCCAUGAAUCAUUUGUUUGUCAUAUUAUAUGGGUUGGUAGAACAAAUACUUUAACAUUUAUGAGGCAUUUCCACCUUAUAGAUGUGCUUCUACCAAUGUUCUUCUAUUCAUAAAUUGAAAGACUUGACAAACUAAGUGAAAAUGGUGAUAUGAAAUUGGCUAUCAAUUAAAAGUAUUUUUUCAUGUUCUGUUUUGUUGUCAAGUUGUGAUAUAAUGUGAUAACAUAGAAUAUUGCAGUAUGCAUUAAUUAUUUUCUAUUUGUUGAUAUAUUUCUUUAUUUCCCUUUCAUAUAAUGUGCACCAUAGAACCUAAGGUGAAACAUGGUAAGUGCACCAUAGAUAUAGAUUAUAAAGUCUUUUUGUGUAGGAUUAAACUUAUAACAUUAUGCACCAUGCAAUUGUUAUCUCUGACUAUAAGUGUAAUAGUAAUACCAAAAAAAAGAAACAAGGUGAAAGAAACAAUUGUUAUUCUUCCAACUUAGUGCACUUAAUGUAUUUAAUAAAAUCAUACACAAAAUAGGAACAACGUGAAAUAAGUGCAUAUGCUUACCGAUAUGUAGAACAUUAACAAAUCUAAAGUAGAUUCCACACAUUGACAAUAUUUAUAGGGAAACAAUAAUAUGGAUUUUUUAGGAAGUCAGAUCUUAAUUAAGUUCACAUAUUGUUUAAGAACUAAAGAUUAAGGAAGGAAAAUCAACACUGGUACUAACAUAAGAAUGUUUGGUAAGUCAAUUCCACAUGAAAUGUAGUGCAACAUUGGUAUUUGGUAAUAAUAAUUGAUUAAGCUUAUUUGAAUAAUACAAGCAAUAUUUUGGAAGAAAGAAUUCUAAAAAUUAAAUUCAUGAAUAAUUAUUUUAGUGGAUUAGCUUCAAAAGGCAAUGGUUUUAGAAUAACCAAUGUGAAUGUGAAUGUGAAUUUGUUAUGAUUAACUGGUCACCGUGUAUGUCCAUUAAACAUGACACAUUAACAAUUUAACACUAACAAUUUUUUCAUUUUCUUGAGUUUUUUAUGUUUCUUAAUCUCUGUUUACAGGUGUAAUAGAUUUGAUUAUUCUUCUAAGAUGCACCAUUGCAAUUAUUGGUAUUUUUCUUAUGUUAUCUUACACCUUUCUAACAUAAAAUUAUGUAACCAAGAUGCAUCAUUGCAUUGCAAGUAUUGGUACUUUUCUUACAUAAUCUUCCAUGUGAUAUUGGAUGUGCUACAAUUGUAGGCUCAAGAACAUCUUUAAUUAAUGUUCCAACUGUAUAAUGUCAAACAUUAUAUUUUUGUGAUGAUAUUUUUGUUAUUGUUAUAUAAAAUAAAAUAAAAGGAUGGUGGUUUUAUCAGAUAUCAUAAAUUUUAAUUUCUUUUUUGACAUAACUUUCAUGUUAAUACAAUUAUAUAAAAUAUGAUGUUAAGGGGUAAAAUAAUUAUUUUUCUGUAAUUCUAAAGAUUGCCCACCUAAAAAAUUAAACCAAACGCCCUUCUUAUACUGUCACCAUUGGUUUCUAUUUGGACAUUUAUUGUUAACUUUAUUUGAUUUUGCAAGUAACAUCAUUGUAAUUGUAGUGUGCCUAAAGGGAAUAGAUCAAUCUAUGAAGAGGCUCUUCAUCCAAGGGAAAAAGAUAAAUGGUAUUAGAGUUAAUUCAAAUAUUGCAUUCCUUUAUGUUAUCUCUUCUUAGAUUCCUAUAGUAUUUAACUUCCUCAUGUUUCUCUUGUUUAUAAUAUGUUGAUUGAAUAAUUUAUUUCAAUGAUUUACUUUUUUAGCAUGGAGGAUGUAUAUGGCAGGAUAAUUUGUCUAGGAAUCAAUAAUAUUUAUCUCAACCAAUUCCAAAGUUAUUCCUUCUUGGUGGAAUUUUAUAAGUAGUUUAAUAGUUAGUAUAAUUCAUUUUCAAACCUCUUUGUGGUUGUCGAUAUGAAAUAUUGCAUAUUUUGAGUGACUUUGAAAUGUUUAUUAGUCAUAGAUUGUAUGAUCAUUGAGAUAAAUGGUGACGAGAGCUCCAUUGUAGAAUGCAUGACAUUUUUCUAAAUAUUCUGGUAGACAUUGACAAGAAGUUGAAGCCCGAGUAGAUGGAAUAUUAUAUUUCAUUUUUGUCUCUUAACAAAAUUUACUUCACCAUGUUAUUAACGAUUUAAAUUUCGUUAACAAAAUUUACUUAUUCAUUUGAAUAAAUAAAUAGUUGAUAAUGAUGUUAUUAUUUUUUGUAGAUUUGUAAUUACUUUGUAUUUUGAACCGAGAUAGGCAAUCAAAGUUUCAAAGUUUUAGGUAAGAGUAAAGAACAUGGUAAUGGUCUAAAAAAAGUAGCAUAUACGAAGUAAAUAUGGCAUCAACAUAUUUUAUAGAAUGAUAAUUAUUUUUUGUUGUCUUUUAAAUAGUAUGUUGAGUACUGAUUUAGUGUUUCAUUAAGAUUUUAUUGAGAUCCAUGAGAAGGAUUCUAAAUUUUUCUGCAUAAGUAAAAUAGACUCUUUUGUUAUGUAUUAUUAGUCAUUUCUUUUAUCCUCCUUAUUUUUGUUGUAAUAUGCAGGUUUCAAACAAACUCCAUGAUGAAAGGCUGCAGUUUAGUAACAUUUGGAAGGACUUUUGGUUAUGGAUUACCUCCAAGGUCAUUUUGGAAAUUCAACAAAAACAACUAAGUCUUUAUCUCAUUGAAAAG
rnacentral:lncRNA from 1 species